rnacentral:lncRNA from 1 species
AAAAACCUCUUGCCAGAUGUUAGAAUAAGCGACUCGUUAGUUUCCGGAAUAUUCUUCCGACUGGUGCACUGAGCCGUUGCUGACGGUUAACAUAAUUGGGCUCUGCAUAUUCUGACCUGAUAAGGCGCAAGAAUCUUGGCAGAUUUUUCAAAAGGCUGGGGUUGUGGGCAAGGAGGUGGUACGGGGAACGUUUCCCUGAACAAAGGAGGGGGAAAAUCAGUAUGCACCAGCUUGCUUCCGACAGAGUGUUGAAAGGGAAAGAUUCGGCUGCAGAAACCGGGCCUUCAGGAAGAAGGGGAGGCAAAAUCUGUGGCACCCCCAUCCUCUUCCAUCAUCCUCUUGAAGAGCAUUGUUGCAUUCACGGGUUGCUUUCUACAGAGUGCACUGCAGCAGCUGGAAAGGAAGAGAGAGAGCCACUUUGGGUGGGCAUACAGUUCACUCUUUGGAUCCCUUUGGAUGCAGUUGAGUUUGAAUCCAAUUACAGCAUCCAUACACAUUUUGACUUAGCAUGACCCAUCCUGCUGCCUUUUACAUCUGCUCGGCUCCUUUUUGGCUCAGUGCUGGGAUGCGAAGACCUGUCUCGGGCCCGUCUCAUGGGAGACAAAAAGUCAAUCCAUGUGGAACGGAAGGAUCGCUGAAGUGGGAUUUGCACCAGAGAUAAGAACCUUUUAAGUACAAACUCGAGCACUCCGUCUCCCUCCAUCUGGCCAUGCUCAGGAUCAAACUGAAUGUAUAUAUAUAUUUUUUGGAAAACGUGGAUCUGUCCCGUCACCCCUUGUCUCCCUCCAUCUGGACAUGCUGAGUAUCAAACUGAAUGUGUGUGUGUUUUUUUUGGUGGAAAACGUGGAUCUGUCCCGUCACCCCUGGAGAAAACAUGAUCAUAAUCAAUGAUAUGUAGCCAUGCAGCCUUAAACUGCACAGCCCUUCUCCACUGAGGCUGUAGAGGGGCGGGGUGCAAAUUUUGUGACCACGUUUGCCAGGCUCCACACAAAAGAAAGCUGAAUUGAACCAGAUUUUGCUCCACUUCGAAGGAAGUGGAGCAGUCAAGGCAGCUAUAUAUAGCAAAUGGGGGGAAAAAGCAGGGCAUUGUGAAGCUCUGAAAGUAGGCCAGUGGGUGGCUGAAAAUCACAUUUAUUUAUUUAAAAAGCAGAGUGUUAUGUGAUCUAGAUUCCACAAGGAGGAUACCCAAUCCCACAAACACUCUUCUUUUCAUUUCAGAAUAGAGCAUCCUGACAAAAACGUUAGCCAUUGAUUCGGUCUCGUUGCUCUGAGAGCAAAGCCAUGGAAAUGGGUGGCUUGUUACACAGUGCUAGGUAACUGUUCCUUGCACAGCGAGCUUUACUCCAACAACUGGUGCAAUAAACAAAUUGAUGCUUUCGCUGCA